AGAGUUUGAUCCUGGCUCAGAUUGAACGCUGGCGGCAUGCCUUACACAUGCAAGUCGAACGGCAGCACGGACUUCGGUCUGGUGGCGAGUGGCGAACGGGUGAGUAAUACAUCGGAACGUGCCUAGUAGUGGGGGAUAACUACUCGAAAGAGUGGCUAAUACCGCAUGAGAUCUAUGGAUGAAAGCAGGGGACCUUAGGGCCUUGUGCUACUGGAGCGGCCGAUGGCAGAUUAGGUAGUUGGUGGGAUAAAAGCUUACCAAGCCAACGAUCUGUAGCUGGUCUGAGAGGACGAUCAGCCACACUGGGACUGAGACACGGCCCAGACUCCUACGGGAGGCAGCAGUGGGGAAUUUUGGACAAUGGGCGCAAGCCUGAUCCAGCAAUGCCGCGUGCAGGAUGAAGGCCUUCGGGUUGUAAACUGCUUUUGUACGGAACGAAAAGGCGCUCUCUAAUACAGGGCGCUCAUGACGGUACCGUAAGAAUAAGCACCGGCUAACUACGUGCCAGCAGCCGCGGUAAUACGUAGGGUGCAAGCGUUAAUCGGAAUUACUGGGCGUAAAGCGUGCGCAGGCGGUUUUGUAAGACAGUGGUGAAAUCCCCGGGCUCAACCUGGGAACUGCCAUUGUGACUGCAAGGCUGGAGUGCGGCAGAGGGGGAUGGAAUUCCGCGUGUAGCAGUGAAAUGCGUAGAUAUGCGGAGGAACACCGAUGGCGAAGGCAAUCCCCUGGGCCUGCACUGACGCUCAUGCACGAAAGCGUGGGGGAGCAAACAGGAUUAGAUA
rnacentral:rRNA from 1 species